UUUUUACACAUGCACCUCGAACGGCAGCACGAGAUAAGCUUGCUUAUCUUGGUGGCGAGUGGCGAACGGGUGAGUAAUGUAUCGGAACGUGCCCAGUAGCGGGGGAUAACUACGCGAAAGCGUGGCUAAUACCGCAUACGCCCUACGGGGGAAAGGGGGGGAUCCUUCGGGACCUCUCACUAUUGGAGCGGCCGAUAUCAGAUUAGCUAUUUGGUGGGGUAAUGGCCUACCAAGGCCGCGAUCUGUAGCUGGUUUGAGAGGACGACCAGCCACACUGGGACUGAGACACGGCCCAGACUCCUACGGGAGGCAGCAGUGGGGAAUUUUGGACAAUGGGGGCAACCCUGAUCCAGCCAUCCCGCGUGUGCGAUGAAGGCCUUCGGGUUGUAAAGCACUUUUGGCGGGGAAGAAAAGGCACGGGCUAAUAUCCUGUGUCGCUGACGGUACCUGCAGAAUAAGCACCGGCUAACUAC
rnacentral:rRNA from 1 species